UUGACUGAGCGGCGGACGGGUGAGUAACGCGUGGGUAACCUGCCUUACACAGGGGGAUAACAGUUAGAAAUGACUGCUAAUACCGCAUAAGACCCCGGUACCGCAUGGUACAGAGGUAAAAACUGAGGUGGUGUAAGAUGGACCCGCGUCUGAUUAGGUAGUUGGUGAGGUAACGGCUCACCAAGCCGACGAUCAGUAGCCGGCCUGAGAGGGUGGACGGCCACAUUGGGACUGAGACACGGCCCAGACUCCUACGGAAGGCAGCAG
rnacentral:rRNA from 1 species